GGUCGCAUCGCUCAGUUGGUUAGAGCGUUGGUCUUAUGAGCCGAAGGUUGCGGGUUCGGUCCCUAUAGGGACCC
rnacentral:tRNA from 1 species